rnacentral:sRNA from 1 species
CCGGUAGGUCGCCCGCUGAGGCGGUUUGUAAGUUUUGGGUCGCAGUAUGCUAGAAUUUUGAGGCUCCCUUCCGAUGAAAAUUGAGCUGUCCAUGCAGCCAUGGAACCCAGGUUACAGCAGUGAGGGGGCCACGGCUCAAGGCCAGGCGCAGUGGCUCACGCCUGUAAUCCCAGCACUUUGAGAGGCCGAGGCGGGCAGAUCAUGAGGUCAGGAGAUCAAGACCAUCCUGGCUAACACGAAACUUACACAUGUCCAAAAAUGAUUGAGAUAGAGCAGGCGGAGGCCCAGCUUUCCGAGUUAGACCUGCUAGCCAGUAUGUUCCCUGGUGAGAAUGAGCUCAUAGUGAAUGACCAGCUGGCUGUAGCAGAACUGAAAGAUUGUAUUGAAAAGAAGACAAUGGAGGGGCGAUCUUCAAAAGUCUACUUUACUAUCAAUAUGAACCUGGAUGUAUCUGAGGAAAAAAUGGCGAUGUUUUCUCUGGCCUGUAUUCUUCCCUUUAAAUACCCGGCAGUUCUGCCUGAAAUUACUGUCAGAUCAGCAUUAUUGAGUAGAUCCCAGCAGACUCAGCUGAACACAGAUCUGACUGCAUUCCUGCAAAAACAUUGUCAUGGAGAUGUUUGUAUACUGAAUGCCACAGAGUGGGUUAGAGAACACGCCUCUGGCUAUGUCAGCAGAGAUACUUCAUCUUCACCCACUACAGGAAACACAGUCCAGUCAGUUGACCUCAUCUUCACAAGACUCUGGAUCUACAGCCAUCAUAUCUAUAACAAAUGCAAAAGAAAGAAUAUUCUAGAGUGGGCAAAGGAGCUUUCCCUGUCUGGGUUUAGCAUGCCUGGAAAACCUGGUGUUGUUUGUGUGGAAGGCCCACAAAGUGCCUGUGAAGAAUUCUGGUCAAGACUCAGAAAAUUAAACUGGAAGAGAAUUUUAAUUCGCCAUCAAGAAGACAUUCCUUUUGAUGGUACAAAUGAUGAAAUGGAAAGACAAAGGAAAUUUUCCAUUUUUGAAGAAAAAGUGUUCAUUGUUAAUGGAGCCAGGGGAAACCACAUGGACUUUGGUCAGCUCUAUCAGUUCUUAAAUACCAAAGGAUGUGGGGAUGUUUUCCAGAUGUUCUUUGGUGUAGAAGGACAAUGACAGCAAGAGUAGUUGAAAGUAUCUUGCCACUGUUGGCCUUUUGAUUUUUUUUCCCACUUUUUCUUGAAAGAUUAAGUAAUUUUAUUUUAGUUCCAUUCUGGAAUGUUGGGGAGUGGGGGACAAGAAAAAAUAGUAUAGCUGAAAGGCAUCUGUUAAAAAUGUCAUGAUUGAAAGCAGAACUGAGUUUCAAAUUACAACCUUAAAAUUGUUGUUAGAUAUUUCUUCACAUAUUGGCUGCCCAUUUUGAAAAAGAAAUUAUCCACAAAGGUAAUGUUGGUGCUCCAAUUUGCCAGCCAUUCCCAACCCCCUUCUCCCUUACCUGCCUUCACUAAAGAACCCAGAAAAGCUAAUUGCUCCCCUUUCAGCCUCUGUUGCAACUAACAACUCUCAGUGGCCUCAGGACACAGCUUUGGCCUUGGGAAUUCUGGGAAAACUUUUACUUCCUGAUUAAAGAUACAUAUGAAGCUAGGCCACCUCCUCCUCCUCUUACUGCCAUAAACACCUAAGUGAUGACUGGAGCUGGAGGAGUUAUUUGAACGAUGACAGAAGGAAGGGCCAAGAGAACCACGAAGAUGCCAGUUGCCAUAUUGUUGAGCUGCUGACCCAACACCAGCCGUUGCCUAUCUCUAAACGUCUUAUGAAAUAAAACCAGUUUUGUUUAA